rnacentral:rRNA from 1 species
CAGCAGCCACGGGAAUACGAAGGGUGCAAGCGUUAAUCGGAAUUACUGGGCGUAAAGCGUGCGUAGGCGGUAAGUUAAGUCUGUUGUGAAAUCCCCGGGCUCAACCUGGGAAUGGCAAUGGAUACUGGCAAGCUAGAGUGUGUCAGAGGAUGGUGGAAUUCCCGGUGUAGCGGUGAAAUGCGUAGAGAUCGGGAGGAACAUCAGUGGCGAAGGCGGCCAUCUGGGACAACACUGACGCUGAGGCACGAAAGCGUGGGGAGCAAACAGGAUUAGAUACCCCAGUAGUCCCUGUCUCUUAUAA